GCGAAAACUUUACAAUGCUGGCAACAGCGAUAAGGGAACCUCGAGUGCCAGGUUACAAAUCUGGCUGUCGAGAUGCCUAAAAAGCAUUUCAUAGCAAGGGCCGGGCAAGACCGGUGCCAGCCGCCGCGGUAACACCGGCGGCUCGAGUGGUAACCGUUAUUAUUGGGUCUAAAGGGUCAGUAGCCGGCCGGAUAAGUCUCUUGAGAAAUCUGGCAGCUUAACUGUCAGGCUUUCAGGAGAUACUGUCUGGCUCGAGGCCGGGAGAGGUGAGAAGUACUUCAGGGGUAGGGGUGAAAUCUUGUAAUCCUUGAAGGACCACCAGUGGCGAAGGCGUCUCACCAGAACGGACCUGACGGCAAGGGACGAAAGCUAGGGGCACGAACC
rnacentral:rRNA from 1 species